GGGGAAUAUUGGACAAUGGGCGCAAGCCUGAUCCAGCCAUGCCGCGUGAGUGAUGAAGGCCCUAGGGUUGUAAAGCUCUUUCACCGGUGAAGAUAAUGACUGUAACCGGAGAAGAAGCCCCGGCUAACUUCGUGCCAGCAGCCGCGGUAAUACGAAGGGGGCUAGCGUUGUUCGGAAUUACUGGGCGUAAAGCGCACGUAGGCGGAUCGAUCAGUCAGGGGUGAAAUCCCAGAGCUUAACUCUGGAACUGCCUUUGAUACUGUCGAUCUAGAGUAUGGAAGAGGUGAGUGGAAUUCCGAGUGUAGAGGUGAAAUUCGUAGAUAUUCGGAGGAACACCAGUGGCGAAGGCGGCUCACUGGUCCAUUACUGACGCUGAGGUGCGAAAGCGUGGGGAGCAAAC
rnacentral:rRNA from 1 species